rnacentral:rRNA from 1 species
CGAACGCUGGCGGCGUGCCUAACACAUGCAAGUCGAACGGGGAUUUGUUUCGGCAGAAUCCUAGUGGCGAACGGGUGAGUAACGCGUAGGCAACCUGCCCUCCGGCCGGGGGACAACACUCCGAAAGGGGUGCUAAUACCGGAUACGAAGUCUGUGCCGCAUGGUACGGAUUUGAAAGAUGGCCUCUAUUUAUAAGCUAUCGCCGGGGGAUGGGCCUGCGUCCGAUUAGCUGGUUGGUGGGGUAACGGCCUACCAAGGCGACGAUCGGUAGCCGGUCUGAGAGGAUGAACGGCCACAUUGGGACUGAGACACGGCCCAGACUCCUACGGGAGGCAGCAGUGGGGAAUCUUCCGCAAUGGGCGCAAGCCUGACGGAGCAACGCCGCGUGAGUGAGGAAGUUCUUCGGAACGUAAAGCUCUGUUGUUCCUGACGAACCUCCCUUCUAUCAACAACGGAGGGGACUGACGGUAGGGAACGAGGAAGCCACGGCUAACUACGUGCCAGCCGCUGC